rfam:Tilletiaria anomala TBC 951 K437scaffold_95, whole genome shotgun sequence.
GCUCGGAUAGCGCAGUGGUCAGCGCAUUCGUCUUACAGUUAUGUUGCUGUGUCAGCACCCAAAGUGGCACGAAAGGUCCUCGGUUCAAACCCGGGUUCGAGCA